UUUUUAUUUAUACAGUCACCUUUGGCUAGUGAUUACCAACUGAACAGCACAGUUCUAAUGCGUCAUGGGUCAAAAUCAGUGGUUUCUUCAGGGGAUUUCUCUAAUCACUGCUGAGGGGUGUAGACAGUUGGGGGGGUGGAAAGAGAGGAAAGCUCUUAGCAGCUCUAUUUAACUACUUAAACAAGUUCUGAAACUCUCCACAGCUUUCAGAGGCAAGGGCUGAGGAAAGGACUCUGGGGCAGACCUGAGUAUGCCCUUGAACUCCUGGCUAAUGCCAACGGGGGUAAAGUGCCU